UCACACCUGUUCCCAUGCCGAACACAGAAGUUAAGCUCCUUAGCGUCGAUGGUAGUUGGACUUACGUUCCGCUAGAGUAGAACGUUGCCAGGCA
rnacentral:rRNA from 2 species